rnacentral:rRNA from 1 species
UACGAAGGGGGGCUAGCGUUGCUCGGAAUCACUGGGCGUAAAGCGCACGUAGGCGGCUUCUUAAGUCAGGGGUGAAAUCCUGGAGCUCAACUCCAGAACUGCCUUUGAUACUGAGGAGCUUGAGUCCGGGAGAGGUGAGUGGAACUGCGAGUGUAGAGGUGAAAUUCGUAGAUAUUCGCAAGAACACCAGUGGCGAAGGCGGCUCACUGGCCCGGUACUGACGCUGAGGUGCGAAAGCGUGGGGAGCGAACAGG